ensembl:lncRNA
GUUAUCUGGAUGGAAUGAAGUCAUGUUAUCUGGAUGGAAUGAAGUCAGGUUAUCUGGAUGGAAUGAAGUCAGGUUAUCUGGAUGGAAUGAAGUCAUGUUAUCUGGAUGGAAUGAAGUCAGGUUAUCUGGAUGAAAUGAAGUCAGGUUAUCUGGAUGGAAUGAAGUCGGGUUAUCUGGAUGGAAUGAAGUCGGGUUAUCUGGAUGGAAUGAAGUCAGGUUAUCUGGAUGGAAUGACGUCAGGUUAUCUGGAAUUAUGUAAUUUCAACCAUUCUUGUCCGCUGGGAUGAAGCUCAACAUACAGGACUAUGAAAUUGUCCACAUCUACCAUUUCUAUUCUGUCAUGACCCGUCUUUCUGUCUGUCACUCCUUGAUGUAAAACUGUA